rnacentral:rRNA from 1 species
CCUACGGGAGGCAGCAGUGGGGAAUAUUGGGCAAUGGGCGCAAGCCUGACCCAGCAAAGCCGCGUGAAGGAAGAAGGCUUUCGGGUUGUAAACUUCUUUUGACAGGGAAGAGUAGAAGACGGUACCUGUCGAAUAAGCCACGGCUAACUACGUGCCAGCAGCCGCGGUAAUACGUAGGUGGCAAGCGUUGUCCGGAUUUACUGGGUUGAAAGGGCGUGUAGACGGGUUGAGAAGUCAGAUGUGAAAUCUUGCGGCUUAACCGCAGAACUGCAUUUGAAACUGGUGAUCUUGAGUACGGGAGAGGCAGACGGAAUUCGUGGUGUAGCGGUGAAAUGCUUAGAUAUUAGGAAGAACCCCAGUGGCGAAGGCAGUCUGCUGGACAGCAACUGACGGUGAAGCGCGAAAGCGUGGGGAGCAAACAGGAUUAGAUACCCGGGUAGUC